GCCAGGUAACAUUAGGCUGUUUGAAACAGACUGGGACUGUCAUGGUGCCAGGUAACAUUAGGCUGUUUGAAACAGACUGGGACUGUCAUGGUGCCAGGUAACAGACUGGGACUGUCAUGGUGCCAGGUAACAGACUGGGACUGUCAUGGUGCCAGGUAACAGACUGGGACUGUCAUGGUGCCAGGUAACAGACUGGGACUGUCAUGGUGCCAGGUAACAUUAGGCUGUUUGAAACAGACUGGGACUGUCAUGGUGCCAGGUAAGAGUAGCGACCCUUCAGUGCAGAGCAGGCUCAGGCCCUCCUCACCACCAUGGCUGCCAUGAGGGAUGAGAUCACCAGAGUGGAGUGGGAGGUGGUCCUGCUGAGGGAGAGCAAACAGCAUCCAGACAUCUACACCAUAGAGGAGCUCCUAACCAAGGUGUUAACAUCAACCAGACCUUAGAGGAGCUCCUAACCAAGGUGUUAACAUCAACCAGACCUUAGAGGAGCUCCUAACCAAGGUGUUAACAUCAACCAGACCUUGGAGGAGCUCCUAACCAAGGUGCGGACAGAACAGGACAGCAGCCUUGCAACACAGCUGAAAGAGGUUCAGCAAGAGAGAGACGGACUCAAGAGAGAGCUGGAUGAUCUAACAAAGGAGGUGAGAGAGCUCCAAAAAGACAGGCAGAACAGUAAUAACAACCUGACCUCACUAAGAGAGGAGCUGCAGGAGAGAAAGAGAACAGAGGACAGGCUGCAGGAGAGAAAGAGAACAGAGGACAGGCUGCAGGAG
rnacentral:lncRNA from 1 species